rnacentral:rRNA from 1 species
AUCUGGGCGGCGGAAUUCAGGAUGGCUGACCGUGCCUUCGCGGUGCGUCGGUCGUUUGAUAUUUCCGUCGCCAACAACCGCAGACGUCGCGACCUGUUCGCGGUCGGUCCCUGCUCGGAGGAGCCGCGUUCGAGCUCGUUGUGUGCGCGUUUCGGCGUGUUACACGGCGAAGGCGCGGAUCUCUGGCUGGCCGUCGGACAGUAUGCUUAACGGUGUCCGGUGUCGUCGUUUCGUACGCGCGGCAUCGGUACCGGUCAGCGACGAAUUCUUCGGGCCUCUUUCCGACCCGUCUUGAAACACGGACCAAGGAGUCUAACAUGCGCGCGAGUCGCGGGGUAUCGAGCGUACUCCGGUGCGUUCGUUAUGUUGCGAAACCCGUACAUGUCGAAGGCGUAAUGAAAGUGAAUGGGGAAGAUGGUGUUCCGAGUUCACGUUCCGCGAUCAUCGGUAUCGCGGCCGGACGCCCGCAUUCCCGGGGCGUCUCAACGGCCCGUCGCUGAUGCGGACCGUCGUCCUUCGGGGCGGCUGUCGGUCGGCGACGAACCGA